rnacentral:misc_RNA from 1 species
GUGGCACCAAGUCCAUUGACCAUGAGCACUACUCGAUUACCACGUGUAAUUGGAACAUAGUUAGUUUCCGGUGACAAUAUCUGCUUAAGAACAUACGAAACAACCACCUCAACAGGCUGAAGGUCAACCACAGCAGCACCAGGUUCACCAUGAAUUCCAAGCCCAAGUUCCAUCUUUCCUGGACCCAAACGAUCUGAUGUAACCUGACCAGGCAGUGUGCAAACUGACAAUGCAACACCCAUUGUUCCAACCAUUUCAGAUGCACGUUUUGCUUCUGCAGCAACCUCAUCAAUAGAAAGUCCAGCAGCAGCAGCAGCUCCAGCAACCUUAUGAACUAGAAUGGUCCCUGCCAGACCUCGCCGGCCAGCUACGCCGUGAGAUGGAGGUAAAGCACAAUCAUCUCCAACAAUUACAGUCUCUACUUUAUAACCUUCAGAUUUUGCUUGCUCUGCAGCCAAACCAAAAUUUAAGCGAUCACCAGUAUAAUUCGUGACAAUCAAUAGACAUCCCUUGGGACCAGUCACAGCUCGAAUACCCGCAAGAAUUGAAUCAACUUGUGGGAGAAGCAAAAACUUCUCCACAAAUAGCAGCUGUGAGCAUCCCUUCUCCAACAAAUCCAGCAUGUGCAGGUUCAUGUCCACUACCUCCACCUGAUAUAACUGCAACCUUGUCAUAUGUAGCACUUGAAACAUCAGCACGUAAUACAACCUUGACCUCAG